UCUCUUUUCUCUCUCUUCCCUUUCACGUUUCUAUUUCUCAAAGUUCUCAUGUUUUCUCUCAAAUCCAUAACCCUAAACCCUCUUCUUUCGUCUCCUUCUCUUUCACCACAACCGCCGCCACUAUCACCACAAUCGCCGCCACUGUCAUGUCUCUUUAUUGUCAUCAACGCAACAAAAAGUUUCAACGAUUCACAUUAUAAGAUUUACCUCUACAGUCACGGUAGGAUUGAUGGUUGGCGUACGCGUAUAGAGUGUCUUGCUAGCCUUUGAAGGAGCAGCGAUAGAAAACCGAGUCAAUGGUUAUGUUUAUAUGUAGUGGGUUUAUCGUCGUAGUUCGAUCGCCGUGGCCGCCGAUCGGGUGUUUCGUCUGAAUCGGGCUACAUUCAGCGGUGGUGGUGGUGAAAGGCGUUCUUAUAAGGCUACUAUUGAUUUCUCUUAAAAGCAAUUUAAAUUGUUAUUAGUGUUGAUUACCUAUUUGUUUCACCAGUUUCUUUUCAAAUGGAAUAACUCCUCAAAGGUUUAGACACACCUAUUUAUUUGAAGCUUCAUAUGAAUUGGCAAUUUGGAAUUUGUUGAACCUGGUGUACAAUACCACCACCGACAAACCAGAAGACGACAUGAGUUACAAUACCAUCGUUGACAAGAAAAUUCAAUACUAUCGCAUGAAUCACAAUGUCGUCACCGCCACCGAAAGAUAAGUUACUCUUACAUAUUCUAUUAAUUGAUCGUAAGUGAAUAUUGAGUGUUUAUGAGUUUUGUGUCCGGGUUACCGCAAGGGAGUAUGUAAACAAAUGUUAGUGUGUAUUUUUAUUUUUUUUCAAUCUUCUAUAUUUGUUAUGUUGAUUUGCAUUAUUUACUCAAAACGUCAUAUGAGUUGUUCUAAUUCGAACUGAUCUCUUUGCAUUCUAGGGAAAUUGGUUUAUGCACGGUAGCUGUUUGUAUUAAGGUCGCAGAGAUGUCAAAAAUGAAAACUAUGAUGGUAGUGUAAAUUUUAUAUAGGAUAUGCAGUUGUAUACUUCUUCUUCAGUUGCUUCGUCAUCGGUUGUUCAGAGUUUAUAUUGUUCGGCUGAAUUGACUAGAUU